UCAGGACGAACGCUGGCGGCGUGCUUAACACAUGCAAGUCGAACGGACAGAUUUAGAGCUUGCUUUAAAUCUGUUAGUGGCGGACGGGUGAGUAACGCGUGGGUAACCUGCCUUAAACAGAGGGAUAGCAAGUGGAAACGCUUGGUAAUACCACAUAAAGCCUAAGCAUUGCAUAAUGAAUAGGUGAAAGGAGGAAUCCGGUUUAAGAUGGGCCCGCGUCCAAUUAGCUAGUUGGUGAGGUAAGAGCGCACCAAGGCGACGAUUGGUAGCCGAACUGAGAGGUUGAGCGGCCACAUUGGGACUGAGAUACGGCCCAGACUCCUACGGGAGGCAGCAGUGGGGAAUAUUGCGCAAUGGGGGGAACCCUGACGCAGCGACGCCGCGUGAAGGAAGAAGGUCUUCGGAUUGUAAACUUCUUUGAUUAGGGAAGAGGAAGGACGGUACCUAAAGAACAAGCCACGGCUAACUACGUGCCAGCAGCCGCGGUAAUACGAAGGUGGCAAGCGUUGUCCGGAAUUACUGGGUGUAAAGGGCGAGUAGGUGGAUCACUAAGUCAGAGGUGAAAACCCAUGGCUAAACUGUGGGAUAGCAACUGAAACUAGAGAUCUUGAGUACUGGAGAGGGAAGCGGAAUUCCUAGUGUAGCGGUGAAAUGUGUAGAUAUUAGGAGGAACACCAGUGGCGAAGGCGGCUUCCUGGACAGAGACUGACACUGAGGCGCGAAAGCGUGGGGAGCGAACAGGAUUAGAUACCCUGGUAGUCCACGCUGUAAACGAUGGAUACUAGGUGUAGGUGGUAAGAAACCAUCUGUGCCGGAGUAAACCCAAUAAGUAUCCCANCUGGGGAGUACAGGCGCAAGGUUGAAACUCACGCGAAUUGACGGGGUGCCCGCACAAGCAGUGGAGUAUGUGGUUUAAUUCGAAAGCAACGCGAAGAACCUUUA
rnacentral:rRNA from 1 species